rnacentral:lncRNA from 1 species
GUGUGGUCACCCUACGUAAAUAUUUUAUAAUAUCAGUCAUAUAAAACGUUUAUAGAGUCCAUAUUGAUGUAUACACUUAAAAACAAAAAUAGUUCGUGUAUCAUGAUACAUUUUGUACGUGUGUGCGUGAACAGGGCGUUGUAGCCAUAGAAACGAGGAGGAUGCGUUAUUUAAAGUCACCAACUGACCUUCAGUUACUCUGCGAGCAGCGAGAGACGGAGAGAGACGUGCUGUGAGCUUUGAGCUGAGAAACCAGAACUUUUACCAGACCCACACAAAAGUCUCACUAGAGACUUCUACAGAACCAGGACCAGAACCAGAACCAGAACCAAACAGAGACAGACUUCAGCCCAGAGAAGAAGUAAGGACCAGGAGGAGACCAUGGGUCCUCGCAUGCCAGACGGAUUUUUUUCUGGCAGGGAAGAACCUCUGGAUUGGGUCCUAGGCUGGGGAGAACCUGAAGAACCAGAAGAACCCGAAGAACCAGAAGAACCAGAAGAACCAGAAGACCCAGAAGAACCCGAAGAACCAGAAGAACCUGAAGAGGACCUUCCUGAGGGAACUGUGUAUUACAUUUAUGAGGUGACUCCUGGCUGGGGGACCCCUGAGGAUGAAGGUGAGUAUUCUCAGGAGUCACCACUUGAACUCAUUGUCUUCAGGGAGAGCUGUUACCAUAGUGAUUCUACAGCCAGGUACGUAGACAGUUUUGAGGAACCUUCAUCGACCGACUCUGACUGUCAGUGUGAGCCUGAGAGGAAGAGGCUGAGACGGGACGACAGCUCUGACUCAUCUUAGAGUCAUCUGUUCUUUUCCUUUUCCUGCUCCUCUCCAUAUGAGCAGAGUUUCCUGUGUGUACCCGGUUUCCACAGCUGGUCCUUGCGUCUGGCGGGAUUAACUCAGCCUUUGGUUACAUUGACACCAACCAGGGCUGGCCAUUUGUGUGUCCAGUGCGUCUUGCACCUGGGCCUUUUUGUAAAUAGUUGUUUUUGGUAAGUUUUCCUUUGCGUCUUGCGGUGGCGGCUGAUGUCCCAGGCAGCGUCUGGUACCAGGACUUUUUUAGAUAGUAAGGAUUUUAUUUUGUUUCCUUAUGACAGGCAACAGCAGGAGUGGUUGUCCUGUUACUGUUGUAAAACAUGCAUAAUAUAUAAGGUUUACUUAGGUUAGAGUUUAGAAUUAGAGAAAACCUUUUUAAUCCCAGCAAGUGAGGACAGGAGGAGACAUCAGCAGAGGGCAGAGACCAAAGAAGACUUCUCCAUCAACCAAAACAAUGUAAGCAAAAAACACUGAACACAACAUUUAAUGUAAAAAUAAACUUUACUUUUUUUAAAAUGUCUGUAAAAUG